rnacentral:tRNA from 1 species
CUGCGGCUGGGCGACGGCCGUACGCUCCACGUCUACGACACGGGGGCGGACGGCGACGACCGCCUGGUCGUCUUCUGGCACCACGGC